rnacentral:rRNA from 1 species
UAGCUAGUUGGUGAGGUAAAGGCUUACCAAGGCGACGAUCUGUAGCGGGUCUGAGAGGAUGAUCCGCCACACUGGAACUGAGACACGGUCCAGACUCCUACGGGAGGCAGCAGUGGGGAAUUUUGGACAAUGGGGGCAACCCUGAUCCAGCCAUGCCGCGUGAGUGAAGAAGGCCUUCGGGUUGUAAAGCUCUUUCGGCCGGGAAGAAAUCGCAUGGGCCAAUACCCUGUGUGGAUGACGGUACCGGAAUAAGAAGCACCGGCUAACUACGUGCCAGCAGCCGCGGUAAUACGUAGGGUGCGAGCGUUAAUCGGAAUUACUGGGCGUAAAGCGUGCGCAGGCGGUUUUGUAAGACAGGCGUGAAAUCCCCGGGCUUAACCUGGGAACUGCGUUUGUGACUGCAAGGCUAGAGUACGGCAGAGGGGGGUGGAAUUCCACGUGUAGCAGUGAAAUGCGUAGAGAUGUGGAGGAACACCAAUGGCGAAGGCAGCCCCCUGGGUCGAUACUGACGCUCAUGCACGAAAGCGUGGGUAGCAAACAGGAUUAGAUACCCUGGUAGUCCACGCCCUAAACUAUGUCAACUAGGUGUUGGGUGGGUAAAACCAUUUAGUACCGUAGCUAACGCGUGAAGUUGACCGCCUGGGGAGUACGGCCGCAAGGUUAAAACUCAAAGGAAUUGACGGGGACCCGCACAAGCGGUGGAUGAUGUGGAUUAAUUCGAUGCAACGCGAAAAACCUUACCUACCCUUGACAUGCCAGGAACUUGCCAGAGAUGGCUUGGUGCCCGAAAGGGAGCCUGGACACAGGUGCUGCAUGGCUGUCGUCAGCUCGUGUCGUGAGAUGUUGGGUUAAGUCCCGCAACGAGCGCAACCCUUGUCGUUAAUUGCCAUCAUUUAGUUGGGCACUUUAACGAGACUGCCGGUGACAAACCGGAGGAAGGUGGGGAUGACGUCAAGUCCUCAUGGCCCUUAUGGGUAGGGCUUCACACGUCAUACAAUGGUCGGUACAAAGGGUUGCAAAGCCGCGAGGCGGAGCCAAUCCCAGAAAGCCGAUCGUAGUCCGGAUUGCAGGCUGCAACUCGCCUGCAUGAAGUCGGAAUCGCUAGUAAUCGUGGAUCAGCAUGUCACGGUGAAUACGUUCCCGGGUCUUGUACACACCGCCCGUCACACCAUGGGAGCGGGUUCCGCCAGAAGUAGGUGGCCUAACCGCAAGGGGGGCGCUUACCACGGCGGGGGUCGUGACUGGGGUGAAGUCGUAACAAGGUAGCCGUAGGGGAACCUGCGGCUG